rnacentral:rRNA from 1 species
AGAACGAACGCUGGCGGCAGGCUUAACACAUGCAAGUCGAGCGCUCGCAGCAAUGCGGGAGCGGCAGACGGGUGAGUAACGCGUGGGAACAUACCCUUCGGUUCGGAAUAGCCCAGGGAAACUUGAAUUAAUACCGGAUACGGCCAGAAGUGAAAAUUUCUGGCGAAAGAUUUAUCGCCGAAGGAUUGGCCCGCGUUCGAUUAGCUAGUUGGUGAGGUAACGGCUCACCAAGGCGACGAUCGAUAGCUGGUCUGAGAGGAUGAUCAGCCACAUUGGGACUGAGACACGGCCCAAACUCCUACGGGAGGCAGCAGUGGGGAAUAUUGGACAAUGGGCGCAAGCCUGAUCCAGCCAUGCCGCGUGAGUGAUGACGGCCUUAGGGUUGUAAAGCUCUUUCGCUAGGGACGAUAAUGACGGUACCUAGACAAGAAGCCCGGCUAACUUCGCGCCAGCAGCCGCGGUAA